ACGGCGACUGCGACGGCGACCGAUUGAGGGACAGGGUCCCUUUCUUCUGCAAAUCUCUCCUUCGUCCCUCUUCCUUCUGUGACGGCGACGGCGACUGAGGGGCCGAGCAUGUCUUGCGGGUGCUCUGCUCUGGACUGAGGGGCCGCCAGUGGCUUUAGAUCUGCGACGCCUCUUGCUUGCUCAAUGAACUGGGCUAGUUCAAAUCGACUUUGAGAGAAGACAAGGCUCUUGUUUAAUCUAAUAAUUUUUUAAGGAGCAUAUACAGAAGGUAAGCCGUCCCCACCCAAAAAAAAAAAAAAAA